AUGACCUCCACCAUGGCCUGGGCCCCUCUCCUCCUCACCCUCCUGGCUCACUGCACAGGAUCCUGGGCCCAGUCUGCGGUGACUCAGCCAUCCUCAGUGUCGGGGUCCCUGGGCGAGAGGGUCACCAUCUCCUGCACUGGAAGUGGCAACAACAUUGAGCGUGGUAACUAUGUGUCUUGGCACCAACAGCUCCCAGGAAAGGCCCCCAAAUGCAUCAUCUAUGGUACUAGCAGCAGACCCUCAGGGAUUCCGGACCGAUUCUCUGGCUCCAGGUCUGGCAGCUCAGCCUCCCUGACCAUCACGGGGCUGCAGGCUGAGGACGAGGCCGACUAUUACUGCUCAACAUGGGACACCAUUCUCAAUGGUGCCACAGUGCUCCAGGCCUGUGGGGAAAUAAAUGCCAACGUCUGA